rnacentral:misc_RNA from 1 species
UUUUUUUCCCAAAAAAAAAUUCUGAAGACUUAAGUAGCUUUUUUUAAAGAUUUAAUUUAUUUAUUUGUUACACUCUUAACUAUUGAUUGAUGAAGAGAAUGCAUAUAAUACAAGUCUAAAGACAAAUUUUUGUCUGCAAAUCUUACUAAUUAAUACUCAGCUAGAAUACUUGUGAUUAUUGGUUCUCUAAUUCUAAUAUGGACAAUACUAACCCAUGGAGUAAGAAGGGCUUGGUAAGUUGAUAACAGUGCUCUUGACUUUGGUCAUCAUGUUAAUGCUGUUGGUGAUGCCUUGUGAUCCAAUUCCACUGUCCUUCAAACCCUGGAAUGGAAAAUGAUCUGGUCCACGAGCUGGUGCAGAGUUGAUUUGAACUGUUCCUGUCUCCAUUGCAUCACUUAUCAACACAGCUUUGUUGAUGUCCUUUGUGAACACACAGCCCUGGAGCCCGAAAUUGCUAGCAUUGCAAUGAUGGAUUCCUUCUUCAGCAGAAUUGAUCCUGAUAACUGGAAGAAUAGGCCCAAAUGGCUCCUCCCAUGCAAUCCUCAUAUCAGGUCUUACAUUAUCUAGAAGCAGAGGCCAAAUGAGGUUUCCAUCUCUCUUGUAUUCCUGGCAAAACGUUGCUCCUUUCUCUUUAGCAUCCGUAACAAGUCCUUCGAUGAAAUUAGCAGAUGAUUCUGUAACCACUGGAGUGAUGUCACAGUCGUCCUCUGGCGGCCCAACUCUUAGUUUUGCAACUCUCGCAUUCACCUUCUCUACUAGAGCAUCAGCCACGGAUUCCAUCACCAGCACCACCUUAAUUGCAGUGCAUCUUUGGCCACUGUAUGAAAAACCUCCUUUGAUAAUAUUUGCAGCAACCAAAUCAAGAUCAGCAUCCUCCAGCACAAUGCAAGCAUCUUUUCCUCCCAACUCCAUCUGAAGAGGGAUCAUUCCUGCCUUCUUCGAAAUUGCAAUACCAGUGUCUCCACCGGUGAAGCUUAUACAGUUGACACCAGGAUGCAUAGUAAGGAAGUCACCAAUCUCAGAACCUUUCCCAGUGACACAACUGAUGAGGCCUUUGGGAAAACCAGCUAAGUGAAAGCAGUGAACCAUAUGCAGGCAAGAGACAGCACCCUGAGUUGGAGGCUUGAGGACAAGGGAGUUUCCAGCAAUCAAUGCAGGACCAAUCUUUGAGACAGCAAGGUUGACAGGAUAGUUAAAUGGUGGAAUGGCUAAAAUCACUCCAAGGGGGAUCUUCGAAGUGAGGCAGUAUUUUGUCCUCUCAUUACCAGGAAAACUAUCAGAGACCAAGAACUUGCCCUCUCCCAGAAUCCUUACUCCCUCUUCAGCAGUGUAGGAAACAAGAUCCCCAGACCUCACAACCUCUGAGACUGCAUCUUUGGCUGGUUUUGCAAUUUCUUUCACCAGGCACUCAGCAAUUGGAGCCUUGUGCUCUUUCAGGAUAGCAGCAGCCUUGUGAAGGAGUUCUGCUCUCUUCCAAAGUGGAGUUCUAGCCCAAGCUUUCUGCCCAAUUUUGGCUGAUUCCAUUACCUUGUUAACCUCUGCUUGGCUGCAAGCUUGAACCUUGUACUGAGUCUUUCUUGUAGUGGGAUUGAUGAUGGCAACAGUUUUGCCAGAAGAAGACUUUUUCCACUCUCCAUCAGAGUAAUACUUGUAAACAUCUCAAAACCUCUCCAUCCAAAAUCUCUGCAAAACCUCCAGUCCCAGCCAUGGCCGAUGGAGAAACUAGAAUGGCCAAGGAUAGCUAGCAGAGGAACCCAAGAAAGAAAGAG